ensembl:lncRNA
GUCCCUCUGCCCAUCCAGGCGUCCGUCCAUCCGUCCUUCUGCCCAUCCAGGCGUCUGUCUGUCCGUCCACCCAUCCUUCUGCCCGUCCAGGUGCCUGUCUGUCCGUCCGUCCGUCUGUCCGUGCAGAGUGCCACGGCUGCCCACGUGUUGCUGAGUGCUGCUUCCCUGGCGGUGCCAUCGGGACCCAACUGGCGCUACGAAGAAGGCAUCAGCGGAGUCUUCCUCAGCGGCGACGUUCAGGCGACACCCGAAGGACUGCGGGUGGCAUCCGGGGGUCUCUACCUCCUCUAUGGCCAAUUUGCCGUCACCUGCACGGCCACCUCCUGUCCCCCCGGCAAUGUCACCCUCCAACUGCACCGCGCCGGCUCUUCUCAUCCCCUGUUGGCCGUACCGUUGGCGUUACCCGACGGCAGCGGAUCCGGCCCCACUCGCUCCGGUUUGGCUCAAGCAGUGGGGCAGCUGAGGCCGGGGGACGUCCUCAGCUUUAGGAUGGUUGGGGACGUCCAAGGGGACGAGUGGCAGAUGGCGCAGGACGAGAGGGAGGGGAACUUCGUGGGGCUGCUGCGCAUCGCCGGCGGGGGGUGACGCGUGGGGGGGGUCCCCCGAAGUCGUGGAGGUGGAGUGCAAAACGGGGCGGGGGGGGGACCAGAAGGGAUUGGGGUGGGCGCCCCCCUGGUUGGGGGUUUGGAGAGGUACCCCCCCCCGGUGGAGGUUUGGAGACGACCCCCCCUGGUUGGGGGUUUGGAGACGUCCCCACCCCCCCGGUUGGAGGUUUGGAGUCGUCGUCGUCCCCCCCCCCCCC